UGGGCGGUGUCCGCACCUGCAGGGACCAGCCGCCGGGGAGGAGCAGAGCGUUCAGCUUCCCUCUCGCAGUGGCGGCAGCCGGGAGCGGCUCCAGGGCGGCUGCUCGGUCCUGGCUCCUGUCUCUAGUGGGAUCCCAUUCUGAUUUCACGUGUGUAAUUCGCGGUCUCCAGUCCCACUCUCUCUCUUUGUCAUCUCGCAUUCAGCCGUUCUUUCGUCUUCGUCAUUGGCAGUAUUUUUGUCCCCUUUUGUCACUUAAACUGCUAAUUUGUAGCUAGUUUUCUGUACUUUUAUAUUAAAUAAUUAUGUAUUACUUAGCUACUAUAAGUAAUGGAUGAUAUCUCUUAGAAGGGAGAGUCAAGAAAUGGGGUAUUUAUUAGCUGGGUGUGGUGGCGCGUGCACCUGUAAUCCCAGCUACUCAGGAGGCUGAGGCAGGAGAAUCGCUUGAACCCGGGAGGUGGAGGUUGCUGUGAGCCGAGAUUGUGCCACUGCACUCCAGCCUGGGCAACAGAGUAAGACUCUGUCUCAAAAGAAAGAAAGAAAAGAAAAGGAGAGAGGAGAAAGAGAAAGAAAGGAAGAAAAGAGAAAGGAAAGUAAAAGAAAAAAGAAACUGGGAAAACAAGGAAAAUCCCCCUAAAAUUUGCAUUCUGAAUUACUAAGUUUGGGACUGUGGGUGCUAAGCGAAAUCCAUAUUGCAUUGAGAAACUUCCAUUUUUUCAGUCAAGUCAACCCCCAAUUUAUUCUAAAUUAUUGGCCGUAUUGCACCCAACCUGGGUUUCCCUCCACUGUCUCCUGCUGGGAAGUCACCAAUGUCUUGUCUCCAGGAUUUUUGUCUUAGGGAGACCCAGUUAAAUGCCAGGCUCCUUAUCCAACUGGGGAGGACCAUCCAGACCAUUCCAGGCAGACUUGGAAUGAAUUCCUUCCCAAGUCUGCCAAAGAUGGUACACAGCGGCAGGUCGUGCCAUGCUAGAGGUGUAGGAGAGAAGUGACUUUCUUUCUUACAGUGGAGGCCUAAGGGUGUGGGGCUUCGUUCUCACCCCCUCCCCUACCAGCCUCCUUGGAGGUUGGAGAGGUAAGGAAAAGGAAGGAGUUCCUGUAAGUGACGUCAGCCACAUCUAUUUGUGGGCUGACCUUAGUCAAGCAGGAAAUUCAUAUUCCGUCAGCUUUUCCAUCUUUCAACUUUGGGGUGGUUUUGUUUGCCCUUCAUAAUGCCAUCGUGCCCUACAUUUCCGGUGCAGAAAGGACGGGCACCUCAGCUGCAUAGGCCCCUUCUCCACGAAUUUGGUGGUCUAGGCUGGCUCAGGAGCAGGGCUCUUCACCCUGCUGUGUUUACCCGCCCAGACUGGGGUAAAGCCCUGCGUUCCUGGCUUGCACAGGGCAGCUGCUGGAAGGUUUUUAAAAAUGUGAUUUUUGGCCAGGCAUGGUGGCUCAUCGCUGUACUCCCAGCACUUUGGGAGGCUGAGGCAGGCGGAUUACCUGAGGUCAGGAGUUCGAGACAACCCUGGCCAACAUGGCAAAAUUCUGUCUCUACUAAAAAUACCAAAAUUAGCCAGGCGUGGUGGGGCACGCCUGUAAUCCCAGCUACUUGGGAGGCUGAGGCGGAGAAUCGCUUGAACUUGGGAGGUAGAGGAUGCAGUGAGCUGAGAUCACACCAUUGCACUCCAGCCUGGGUGACAGAGCGAGACUCCAUCUCAAAAAAAAAGUGAUUUUUCUCCUUCCAUUUAAUGUAGACUCCUCUGUCCCCUGAGACUUGGCCGCAGUCCCCCGGAGACUGGGCUGAGAAGGGAUAUGGGUGAGAACAUGCUAUAAUUCUUGAGUAUCCCACCUCAUUCCAUUCGGACUGGAUGCCUGCUUGCCCCCUCUGCACAGAGAGUUUAUGGGGAGCCACAGUCCCCUGGCUGCCUUCAAGUAGUGACCCUGGGAGCCUGCUGGCCCUAACACACCUGGUCAUUUUGUCUUUCCAGAAGGCACCUGGGAGCUGCCUGGUAACACAGCCCCUGCGGGCCCUCUCAGACAGGGCCAGACAUGCUACAGUGGCCCAGUUGCAACCCAGUUAAAUGCCAGGCUCCUUCUCCAACUGGGGAGGGCCUUCUGACCUUCGUCACUGGAAAGAAUUCCUUCCCAAGUCUGCCAAAGAUGGUACACAAUGACAGGUAGUGUCGGGCUAGGUGUGUAGGAAAGAAGUGACUUCCUUUCUUACAGCAGAUGCGUAAGGGCAUGGGGCUUCAUUCUCACCCCUCCCCCACCCACCUCCUUGGAGGGGCUCUGACACUCCCACAAUGGAGGGGCUCUGACACUCCCACAAUGGAGGGGGCACAGAGCUUAGUGAGUAAAACUCGUUUUAAACAUCUUAAACAUGUUUCAGCUGAGCCAAGGGGAAAACACCUAGAACACACUAGCAAUCGGAGGAUUCAUCCUGUGAUUGGGACUACCUGAACUCAGGGUGGAGAAACCAGCUUUGACCCCUGGUUCUACCAUUUACCUUGCACGUGUCCUUACCUGACCAGAAUUAUGCAGCCUCUUUGAACGGCCUCUGGGACACUACUUUAAAAGACUAUCCAAUCUAUUCUCAGACAGCUCUGACUUAGAAUUGCCAUUGAAGGUCCCUUGAGUAUUCAAAGUCAGGUUGAAUCUUCUCUGCUCCAACCUGGUGAUCUCUAGUCCCCUCAACCAUUGUCACAGGACUUCUGAUCAGACUCCACCCUCUCGCCCACUCUCCUUCCUGGUCGUCAGUGUCCUCAUGAAGUGAAGGCCCCAGACUGAACACAGUGCCCCACUGUUAGACAUCCUCCCGUUUCCUCAGCAUUAUUUUCCUUUUUGAGGGGGUCAGAGUCUCACUCUGUCACCUAGGCUAGAGUGCAGUGGUGUGAUCUUGGCUCACUGCAACCUCUGCCUCCUGGGUUCAAACAAUUCUCCUGCCUCAGCCUCCCGAGUAGCUGGGAUUACAGGUGUAUGUCACCACACCUGGCUAAUUAUUGCAUUUUUAGUAGAGAUGGGGUUUCACCAUGUUGGUCAGGCUGGUCUUGAACUCCUGACCUUGUGAUCUGCCUGCCUCAGCCUCCCAAAGUGCUGAGAUUACAGGUGUGAGCCACCGCACCUGGCCUAUUUUCCUUUUAAUGCAGUCAGAGAGUAGUCCAUACUGUUAGGGCAAGGGGCUCCCAGGCAUAAUGGCCUGGGAAUUUAGGAGCAAGACCCAGGGCACAUCUCUGUUUAGGCUGGGUGCUCCUGACAGUUCCAUUCUACAGCCCCAUGCUCUAUGGCUAAAUGUCCUUCAAUACAAUUGCAAGGGCCUGAACCCUGCAGGGAGCAACCUGGACCCCGUUCCACAUGGCCACCACCAGAUAAGAGCCACAGCUCAGUAAGACCAGAAGGGUGGUUCAGCCACGUGGGAACCAGCCAGGAUUCAAAGAGACAAGAGGCUCCUGUUGUGUUUCCAGCUUUAGCAAGGGAGUUGGGGGCUAGUCUGAAGUCCAUUUCUCUCUGCCUUUGUUUUCCUGCUGAUAAAAGCAGUAGUGAGUUUCUUAGGCUUUCGCAGAUGUCUCAACAGAGAUUGCUUGAGCACUGAGUGUUGAGAUCUCCCCUGCUCUCUGGACACAUCUCAUACUGAUUCCCCCCAUACACUACUUCCUACACAGAUCUGUCCUUCACCUGGACAUUGUCCCUUCUCUGCGGUUUCCCUUCAUCACGCUUGCUCCCGGAGAACGCAGGCACUCACAGGAACGCAUCCAUGCAUCCCAAGUGGAGCGCUGAGCCACGCCUCCCUCUGAGCUGCGGUGCUUUCUCAUGAGGGACUUGCUAAAUAAUACUGUUAUGAAUAGGUAUGCAGCUGUGCUAUUCACCAGGCACUGUGCUGGGAAUAAAAUAUAUCUUAAGGCAUAAAACGCACAUGAUUUUUUUCCCUCAUGGGUUUACAGUCUACCAGGGAAGAGAGAAACAAAAAUAUGUGACUUCAAAUCUAUGAUAUAUACUGGGAAAGAGGAAAAACGAGUUUGCAAUGAUUAUGUUUUUAAAAGACACUGCGGCAUUGGAGAGGGAUCCUGCUCAUCUGGGGCCUGCUCGGUGGGUCUCUCCUCGGAGGUGAAACUUCCUCCUCCCCCUCCUUCUCACCUCGGAGGUAAUGCUUCAGCUGAGGUCUGAGGGAUGAGAACAAAUGAGCCCUUCACAGACCAAGAGGGUGAGCUUUCCGAGAAGAGGGAGGAGAAUGCGCCAAGGCCCUGAGCUGGCAAGGAGCCUGGGGGGAGGAGUCACUGGAAGGAGAGUAUAUGGAGUAUGGCAGGUGUGGCAGGGACUGAGCCGAACAAGGGGGCGGGAGGCUGACAGCGAAGGGCCCUGAGGACCAUAUUAUGGGGUUGAAGCUAAGUGCAGUGGAAAGCCUUCAAAGAGAUUAAUAUUUUUUUUCUUUUUCCUCCUUCCUCCUCCUCCUUUUAUUUCCUUGUUUCUUCUUCCCUCCCCCUCCUCCUCCUCUUUCUUCUUCCUCCUCCUCCUUCUCUUUUUUCUUCUCCUUCUCUUCCUCCUCCUCCUCCCCCUCCUCCUCCAUAACGACCACCUCCUCCUUUUUCUUUUCUUGCUUUCUUUUUCUCAUUCUUUCUUUCUUUCAUUCUUUCUUCUCCUGCUCCUGUCCCUCCAUCCCCUCCUCCUCCUCCACUUCCUCUCCUUCUUCUUCUUGUUUCUCCUUCUUUCUUUUUAAAACUUAGAGACAGUGUCUCACUUUGUCACCCAGGUUGGAAUGCAAUAGCAUGAUCACAGCUUGCUGCAGCCUUAAACGCCUGGGCUCAAGCAAUCUUCCCACUUCAGCCCCCUCAGUAGCUGGGACUAUAGGCAUGAACCACCAUGCCUGGCUAAUUCAAAAAACUUUUUGGAGACAGUCUCUCUAUGUUGCCCAGGCUAGUCUUAAACUCCCAGCCUCAAGCAGUCCUCCCACCUCAAGUUCCCAAGGAGCUAGGAUUACAGGUGUGAGCCACCAUGCCUGGCACCUUUGAAGGGUUUUAAAUAGGAGAGUCAUACAGUAUGGCUCAUUCUAAAAAUAUUGCUUUGGCAUCUCUGUGAGUAAACUGGAGGUAGGCAAGAAAACUACUAGGAGGACCAAGGAGGCUGUGGUAGCAGUCCAGCAAGAGAAAAAAGUGACUUAGACGGGCAGUGGUGGCAGAGUAGGCUUCUUGAAUACAUCUCUGCAUCAGACCAAGUUUUAUAUAAUCUUCUCAUGUACUAAUGUCCCACGCAUCAAGUCUGUGAUCGGGCUCAUCAGGUUGCCCCUAAAUUCUCUCUCUGCUUCUUGUUCAUUUGUUUCUUCUUCUUUCUUCUUUCUUCUUCUUCUUUCUUUGAGAUGAAGUCUCACUCUGUCACCAGGCUGGAGUACAGCGGUAUGAUCUCGGCUCACUGCAACCUCCACCUCCUGGGUCCAAGUGAUUCUCCUGCCUCAACCUUCUGAGUAGCUUUUUUUUUUUUUUUUUUUUUUCUGAUGGGUGAUUUUUAUUAGAUACCCCUCAAGCCAUCAUGAUUAGAGGUUAAUCGUGUUUUCUGAAAGUCUGUGGAGAAUCGUGCCGUUGCUUGAGGGGUAUCUAAUAAAAAUCACCCAUCAGACAGGCAUGCGCCACCAUGCCCAGCUAAUUUUUGUUUUUUUUUGAGACGGGGUUUCACCAUGUUGGCCAGGAUGGUCUUGAUCUCUUGACCUCAUGAUCUACCCCCCUCGGCCCCCCAAAGUGUUGGGAUUACAGGCGUGAGCCACCGCGCCCGGCCUAAGUCCAUGUUUUUAAAUUUAGUGACCAAGGCUCUCCAUCAUGCGGUUCCAGUCAACCCAUGACGAAACCAGUUUGGUUCCAGUUUAGUAACGUCAGCAACGGUGGUAAUAAUGAUAUUUUGCAUUCCUGCAUGUAAGGCUUUAUUGCCACAGAAGGGACAGCACAUGGCACCUGGAGUCAGAAACACGUGCUCACAGCCUGGCUUAACAACGGACCAGCUGUGCAAUCCCGGACAAGUCACGUGCCCUCUAUUAAACAAGAGCCUGGGAUUGUGGCUGGUUCUUGAUAAACCCAGAGCCCUUUCCUCUCCUAGGCCUGUUUCUUGAGGUUUGUAGAUUGGAGGUAAGCCUGGUCUACCCAAUUCCCAGGGGAUGAUGAAGUUCAAACAAGAGGAGACCUAACAGCGGGAGAAACAUAAGACACAGGCUAUCUCCUACUUCUCGCCGUGACCCUGCAGAGUUAGCAGGCAGGACAAGGAGCCCACGGUCCCCAUUUCGUGGAUGAGGAUGUGGUGACUGGAGGCUCAUGAGCUGCCCUGGCCCUGACUUGCAGGGCAGGGGAGGAGUCCUGGCCCUUGGGACCCCGAUGGCCUGCGGCAGGGCUGUUGAGGCAUGUGUUACGUUGGGGAGUUGUGUUAUGGAGUGAGGCUGUGUUGGGGCGGAAGGAGAAAGGACAUGAGAUGCGGAAUUAACGUGAGGAAAUUAAGUUUUUCUUUCGGUUUGGGCUGUGCAGUUGUUUUCUAAUUUCUUUGAGGGCUUGCUGUUUGGAACCUCGGAAAGGAAUCGUGAUUGGUGUUCCGGAAAAACAGCGAUUUUUAACGGGAAGCCACUGCCUAUUAGUACAGGCAGAAGCGGCCCCUUGUCCUGGAAUGCCAGAGGUCUGUUUCCGAGCGGUGGGGCGGGGCCUGGUGGCUGGCUAGACUUUUUCUGCCAAAAUCUAUGACAAAAUGAAGUAAACACCUGUGUUGUCAACCUUCCCGAGUUAAGUAAAUGUGAAUAUAGUUAACUAGGUAGUAGCUUUAUAAUUAUUUUGUCAACUUUAACACGUGAAAUUGCUCCCAUGCAGUUACCAGUAUUCUUGAAUUGUCUUAUCAUUUAAACUGUGGAUUUUAUUUAGAGAGUAAAUGUGUCUGGAGGCUUUUCAUUGUUUCCGAACUUAGACGAUAGGGUCUCGAGGUGCCCGUCCCGUCCCUGUGGCUGCACGAUGUGGAACUGGAGGCAGGUGAGGCUGAGCCGGGUGUCGGACCCAAGGCAGGGUGACCACACGGUGAGGCCAGAGAAGCUUCUGGCAUCUGGCAUCCUCACAGGAACGCCUUGUGAUGUUCUCUCCAUUUCCUGAUGGAAAAACUGAGGCCCAUAGCAGUGGGGUAACUCCCCCACUAUGGUGGGGAGUUGCUUCAUUGCCUCGCCCCCAGCAGAGGGCCUGCUUGCACGAUAAAGUCUGCUACAGGGCCCGGCCUCUGUAGAAGGAAUUGUUUUUAAUAAAUAAGGGGCACUGUCUUAGUUCAUGGUCAGCCUACACAGGUUCUCCUCUGUGGUCCUGUGCUCUGUGAAGUCAGCAAGGCAUGAGCAAUUUCCCCUUUUAGAAAUUAGUAAAUGGAGGCUUUGAGAGGUAUGUGAGCCAGGAUCUCACCGCUGGCCUGGGGCUGCUGCCCAGAGAGACUUCUGCCUGGAUCACUCCUAUUCUCCAAGAUCCCCUUGCCAGCCAGGCAUGGCCAUCCAGCGUGAACAUCACUCCUUCCUCCCUUCAUCUGCUCAGUGCUUGAAGAUCCCACCUGGAGCCCAAGGCCACUUCAGCGAACAAGCCACUGGCCCUAUAUUUGGGUGCAGUGUAGAUCUUUAUUUUAGAGGACAAUCAUGUUUGCUGAAAGUCUGUGGAGAAUCGUGCCAUUGCUUGUGGGGUAUCUAAUAAAAAUCACCCAUCAGACAAAAGUGGAAGUCAGCAGUAGACCAGCGUUCACCUAAGAAAUCACCAUCGCCAUCACUAUCAUCAUCUGCCUUGUCAACAACCUUGUCUCUAGUCAUGACAGAUUUGGCCAAAAAAGAAAAACACGGAGGCCUUUCGAGGACGUAACACCCAGAGGACGUUCCUCCAUGCCUCCUCUGUCUGUCUCCCUAAUUUCAGCUUCUCUCAUCUGCCAGUUUCCAGUCCUAUGAAGAGUCAGAGGUCUCCACUUACUCCAAGGUGAACCAUGGUCAAAGACGAGGCUGUGGAUGCAGGCAAGUCCAAGCACAACUCAGGCCCUGCCACUCAACUGAUGGCUUAUUUCGUGCAAGUUUCCUAAUCUAGUGAUUAAUCGAAUGGUUCUCCCACCUCAGCCUCCAGAGUAGCUGGGACUAGAGGCACAUACCACUAUGCUCUGCUAAUGUGAUUCAUUUUUUGUAGAGACAGGGUCUCACUCUAUUGCCCAGUCUGGUCUUGAACUCCUGGGCUCAAGGGAUCCUUCUGCCUCAGCCUCCCAAAGUGCUGGGAUUACAGACAUGAGCCACUGUACCCAGUCUCAUUUUCCAACUCAAGAAAAUGGGAAGUGACGGUUACGAAUCUUGUUUUUUGAGGAUUAAAUUAAGUAAUCCUGGCCCCAUGGCACGUGAUUGGCACUUGAGAAAUGAUAGUGAUUAUUGUUAUCUCUUAAAAUAAGAUUAGUAUCCAGUCCUACCCACCUCACAGAGAUAGCCCCAGAAAUAAAAUGAAGUGAGAAGUAGAUCAUCUCUAAAUCUUUGAGGAAGUAUUUUGCAAGAAUCCCAACUACUGUUGUUCUUCUCUCUGUAUAUAAAAAACAAAGAACCGUGAAGCCCCUUUGCUUCCGAGUCACGCUCUGUGACUGAUGGCAGAUGUCGGGGAAAAGCUCAACCAGGAGAGAGAAAGCUGCAGGCGCGGGCGGCAGACCGAGGGCCUGGGGCGGGGGGAGCUGAAUGAAAACCACAGACAGACAGCAGCUGUGAGAGAAAGCAGAGACCCGGAAUGGCUUUAAACAGAAAGCAGAGGCCCACAGCAGGGAGUGAGAUGAGACCAGGUUUCAACGUCACUUUCCCCUAAGCCCUUGUUCAUUCACAGCUUCCUCCAGUAGCUCUGCCCAGCUUUCCCAGCACCUGCCGACAGACCCACUGACCGACCAGUGGAGGCUGGUGCUGGGGUGGAGAUGGCCAGGAGCCCCUGGUGGGAAGGGAGGGAAGAUGGGGAAGAAGGGGCUCCACAGAGGGCACCUGAUCCAGGAUGGCUCUCCGGAGGAGGUGAUUUCCUAGGCCUAUGGGGCCUCCGGGCAGUGGAACCAGCAUGAGUGAAGCUCGAAGCUCGGAGGUGGGGAGCAUGGAUCGGAGGAGAGAAUAAGCAGUUGCUUGCCGAGCAUCAAUCAGUGAGAUGCCGCAGUGCACUCAAAGAAGCAGGCAGGGCCCUUUUCCACCAGCCUAAGGAUUUGGGAAUUACUCCUCUAUCAGCCAACAGUUUCCAACCUUAUUUAUGGACUUGUUUCUUUGAUUCCAGCGACACAGGAGAGAUGGUAUUCAGACACCCGACUUCUGCUGUGGGUGUGCCCAGGUUAUAAAUCAUUUCCAUCAGGCUAGCUGGAGUCCCAGCCCUUCCUUUCCACUAAAGAAAGCAAAUCAGAGUACAAGAGAGCGAGAGUGAUUUUAUCAGAGCAUAGCCUUGAAACUGCCAUAACAAAAAAAUAAAUCGUUCACAAAUGUCAGUCCAACUACUUUAGUCUCAGAGAGAUUGUUUGUCUCCACCCCAGUGUGUCGCGGCACAGAGGCUAAGAAUUCCCCUCUCCCCUCCCCACACCUAGGCCAGGGGAGCCACUGGUGGAUUGGGAGCAGGGGAGGGUCUGGAGUUUGGAAAUGAUUUCCCUGGCUGCAGUGUGGAAGGGGGAGUUUGAGGGGAAGACGGGAGACCAGUUGGGGAGACUGCUGUAGUAAUAGAACUAUGCCAGGAUGCUGUCUCCCUGCCCACCCCCGGGGCAGUGGUGGCUGCCAUGGAGAGCAAGAGCAGUUUUGAGAGAGCGGGAGGAGCCAGCAUCCACAGGACUGACUCACUGGAUGUAGAGUGAUGGGGUGGAGGCUCAGGAACAGUGCCUGGUGUCUUCACAUGGCUGGAUAUAUAGCUGGUGGGAUCGCCCACAAAGAGAAGGUUCAGAGGAAGAGGGCCAGGGUUGCAGGGGACCUGGGCAGCAGGGAGAGGGCGGGUAAUGAGCAGAGUUGGGGAUCUGUUGGGCUUAGUUUACCCACCAUCCCUCCAGAGAUGGCCCACUUGGGGCAGAACCAUGCACCUGCCCCAGAUGCCACCCUCCCCGCUUCACAGCACACGAUUCUGCCUGGUGGCAUUUGUUGCCAUCUGUAUCUGGCCACCCAGUGGUGCAAAAUGCAAGUUUGCUGAAUAAGCAAAAUCAACCUGAAGCAGACAAAGACUGGUGUCCCCAAGGGAUGGCCAGCUCCUUAGAGGCAGAAACCCUUUCCCUCUAGGGCAGAGCUUCCUCAGUGGGUCCUCACAGGGGAGGGUGGGAGAGAGACUGAAAGAGUGAAAGGGAAAACAAGAGAGUAGAGAUGAGAGGGAGGUGGAGACAGUGCUUCAAAGAAAGGUUGAGAAAAGAAAGGUUGAGAGAGAAACAGAACAGAGAGAGUCAAAGGCAGGAAAAAUAGAGGCGGAGGAGGAAGAAGAUGGAGGGGUUUGGGGUGCAGGGUAACAGUGCAAGCCAGCUGUGCCUGUGAGUUCAUGGGUUCUGCUUAUUAAAACCCAGCUCUGGCAACUUUGAGAAGAUGCUCACAGUUCUCUCCCUGCCCUGCCUCUUCCUCCAGCUCACCUCAGCCUUCUCCUGAGCCUGCCGCCCAACCCGCAGCACUGACACCCCAGCCCAUCCCUGCUCCUGUGACAUCACUCUGUGUCCCUGCGCAGUGGCCCCAUGCCUCAUCUUGGCGUCUCUUGUCUCCAUUGUAACUAGGCCCUUUUUUGCCUUGGUGUCUGCCUCCUUCCUAGAACCCUAAGUUCCCAACUAGACACCAAGCCAGGCACACAGGAGGGCUCACGUUCCUAUCACUGACCCAAUGAGUGCAUUUACUAACCCGGACGUGCGUGCCAGGUUUAUAUCUGUUAUCUCGUGUAAUCAUCCACAUGGUCCCAUGCGGGGCUUUACUGCUUCAUUUUACAGAAGUGAAGCUCAAGACACAGAGGGGUAAGCGCCUUCCCUAGGCCACACACCUACCAGGUGGCAGGGCUGGGAUCCAAACCCCAUCUGUUGGCCUCUGUGGCGGGGCCCUCUCUGCCAUGCCACCUCCAAACACCAUGGAAGACAUGCUUUCCAUGGGAACAGUGCUUCUUCCAAGCAUAUUGUUUUUCUCCAUUUUCAUGCAUUUUAUUAAACAUUUCCAAAUCAGGAAACAUGGAAAUAUUUUUUAAUAAGAAGAAAGAAAACAUUGCAAAUUGAGAAGCUGACUCAGAUGGAUUUGCCAGAUGAGCCAUCUGGUUUUUAAUUUCAUAACCAUCCAAAGAGGUUGACAGUGCUCCCCUUUACUAAGAAAGUGGACUGUGGAAGGAAUGGCAGCUGCUGUCCCUCAAAUGGUAAGAUCCAUUUCCAAGGUGGAGAAGUUGAGCAAGACCAAGAGACACAAGAGAAGAGAAACACCCUCCAAGAAAAGCUUGGCCGGUGCUGGUGCUCAAGCUCCCCCCGUCAUCCAGGCUGCAGAGGUUGCAUCCAGCUGUGUGACACCAGCCAGCUGUCCCACCUCUUCCAGAGUUGCUCAGGAGCGUCUGCAGAAAACUGCUCAUGGAGACAGAGAUGCUACCACCUCGGUGAGAAAAAGCCACGCCCCCCAAACCCUGGUGUUCGCAGAGCAAGAACGAGCCGUGUUUGUUUAGCCGCAAGUCACAUUUGUUUGUUGGAGCCGUUGUGCUCUGGUGGAGCUGGUUCGUCUCCUUUUAAAAAUAACUGGAGGCCUUGCACCAUGCUGUUAGUUCUUAGGGCUGGAAAUAAAAGACUAGAUUUAGAUUUGCCUUGGAAAGAUCCAGGGCUGUUACCUUGAAUUACCUGGUAGAGGAAAACGUCCUUCUUUUCCUAAAUUCAAAGCCAACUCUUGAAAAAUAGGACACAGAGGUGAAAUGGAUGGAGGGGUGACUUUAUAUGCAUUUGGUGUCCUGCGCGUGUGGUUUGCUAGGCUUUUGGUCAGACCUGAGUCCUCAAAGCCAUUUAUUUUACUUUUUAAGACGUUUAUAAGGGAAAUUGUUUUUGAGAAAAGAAUGAACUAUUUUCUUUUUGUCUUGAUGUGAAUUCACCCACUGGCACAAGCAGUAAUAGCCCUGAAGUCACCCUACGCCAUUUAUUCCUCAGCUAGCUUUGAAUUUCAAUGGGAUUCUUUCACACAAUUCAAGCAUUUCUGAAAUGCUCCUAAACUAGGACUCCUAAUACCCAUAAGAAAUGGUGAUUCCACCCAAUUUUCUCCUUAAAGCUGGAAUCACAUGCCCUAGCAUGCUGAGGGCACUUGGUAAUUAGAAGUUGAUUAUAUUGGGGACCUGGACAAAGGCAGAGCUGGGAAUGGGAAUAAAACCCAGGACUCCAUGAAAAUCUCUUUCCUUUCAUAAUAGCUUCUAAUUCAGGCUUCUAAUAGCUUCCAAUGCUGGUCACACACAACCUCCCAGCCAUCACCUACUGGCAGUGGUUGGGUGGGUACUUUGCCAAGCUAGGAUGGUCCCUGCCCAGGUGCCCAGGUGCUGCCUCCACGCCCCACCCCGUGCCCAGCUCACUGCAACUGCCAUUUUUAGUAUCCGAAAAAAUACGGGUUUCAAUCCCAGUCUUUGCUUGCUUGCCGUGAGACGUUAGCUCAGUUACUCACUGGGACUUCGCAUUGCUUCACUGUAAAAUCAGGUAACAGCUCUGAUCCUGCUGGUUUUGUCCCACUGGCUGUGAGAAUGAUAAAGUGGGGCCAUUCAUUAAUUCAUUCAUUGGACAAAUAUUGAGCACUAGGGAUACAGCAGUAAACAAAACAGAAAAAGUCCUUUCCUUCAGGAAGCUUGUAUUUUAAUAGGGGUUGACAGUCAAAAAAUACAAAAAUAGGCCCAUAUCUUUUUUUUUUUUUUUUUAUGAGACAAAGAUUUACUCUUGUUGCCCAGGCUGGAGUGCAAUGGCGCGAUCUUGGCUCACCGCAACCUCUACCUCCCGGGUUCAAGCGAUUCUCCUGCUUCAGCCUCCUGUGUAGCUGGGAUUACAGGCAUGCACCACCACACCCAGCUAAUUUUGUAUUUUUAGUAGAGAUGGUGUUUCUCCAUGUUGGUCAGGCUGGCCUCAAACUCCUGACCUCAGGUGAUCUACCCGCCUCGGCCUCCCAAAGUGCUGGGAUUACAGGUGUGAGCCACCGCUCCCGGCCUCCAUAUCUAUUAUGUCAAGGGGUGAUAAGUGCUGUGGAGAAGAAUGACUCAGGAGAGGCUGGCGUGAAGGAUGUGGGGCAGCAGUGCUCUUGGAGACAGGGUGGGCAGGGAACACUUUUCUGAGAAGCUGACAUUUGUGCCAAGGCCUGAAAUUACCUGGGAUAAGAGCCUUCUAAGCACAGAUGUCCCUUAACUUAGGAUGGGGUUACUUCACAAUAAACGCACAGUAAGUUGAAAAGAUCAUAAGCUGAAAAUGCACUGAACGUACGUAACCUACUGAACAUCGUAGCUUAGCCCAGCCUACCUUAAACGUGCUGGGAAUGCUUACGUCAGCCUGCCGCUAAGCAAAAUUACCUGGCAGCAUAGUGCCCCGCAGAGGACUUUGUAGAGGACUCGUGAUCACCUGGUUAACUGCGAGCUGCCCAGCGUCAGGAGGGAGAAUUGCAUCACAGAUCCCUAGUCUGGGAAAAGACCAACAUUCAGAAUUUGAAGAACGCUUUCCACCAACUGCGUAUUGUUUUGCACCAUUGUAAAAUGGAACCGGUGUAAGUCGGGGCCAUCUCUGGAAGGAACAGCAGAUGAGGGGCUCUGAGGCAGGAGUAAAGCUGGCUGGAUGAAGGAGCUGCACAAAUCCCAGGUGGCAGGGCGGAUGGGCAAAAGUGAGAUGGGCUCAGAGAGGCCCCCAGGCUUUUUUUUCUGAAGGAUACGGGAACUUUUGUCUUACAUUUUUAAGAGGGCCUCUCUGGCUGCUGUAACAGGACUAGACUUGGGGAAGGUUUGCCCAGGCAGAAGCAGGGAGGCCAGUCAGGUGACUACUGCAGUGGCCCAGGUGAGAGGGCAGGGCUGGUCCAGGUGAGAG